rnacentral:tRNA from 1 species
GCCGGUGUGGCUCAGUGGACAGAGCAUCAGCCUGCAGACUGAAGGGUCCCGGGUUCGAUUCCGGUCAAGAGCA